rnacentral:pre_miRNA from 1 species
AUUUCGUCGUUUACCCUGAGACUGGGGGUUUUUUAGAAGAGCAAAAGUAAUAGAAAAACAGACUUUUGCUCUUCUAAAAAACCCCCAGUCUCAGGGUAAACGACGAAAU